rnacentral:rRNA from 1 species
UGGGGAAUAUUGCACAAUGGGCGCAAGCCUGAUGCAGCCAUGCCGCGUGUAUGAAGAAGGCCUUCGGGUUGUAAAGUACUUUCAGCGGGGAGGAAGGUGUUGAGGUUAAUAACCUCAGCAAUUGACGUUACCCGCAGAAGAAGCACCGGCUAACUCCGUGCCAGCAGCCGCGGUAAUACGGAGGGCGCAAGCGUUAAUCGGAAUUACUGGGCGUAAAGCGCACGCAGGCGGUCUGUCAAGUCGGAUGUGAAAUCCCCGGGCUCAACCUGGGAACUGCAUUCGAAACUGGCAGGCUAGAGUCUUGUAGAGGGGGGUAGAAUUCCAGGUGUAGCGGUGAAAUGCGUAGAGAUCUGGAGGAAUACCGGUGGCGAAGGCGGCCCCCUGGACAAAGACUGACGCUCAGGUGCGAAAGCGUGGGGAGCAAACA